UACGAAGGGUGCAAACGUUGCUCGGAAUCAUUGGGCGUAAAGCGCACGUAGGCGGCCUCGCAAGUUGGAUGUGAAAUCCCUCGGCUCAACCGAGGACGUGCAUCCGAAACUGCGGGGCUUGAGUACUGAAGAGGAUCGCGGAAUUCCCGGUGUAGAGGUGAAAUUCGUAGAUAUCGGGAGGAACACCAGUGGCGAAGGCGGCUGUCUGGGGUAUUGCUGACGCUGAGGCACGAAAGCGUGGGGAGCAAACAGG
rnacentral:rRNA from 1 species